rnacentral:rRNA from 1 species
AUACGUAGGGGGCAAGCGUUAUCCGGAAUUAUUGGGCGUAAAGAGUGCGUAGGUGGUUUUGUAAGCGCGGGGUGAAAGGCUAUGGCUCAGCCAUAGUAAGCCUUGCGAACUGUGAGACUUGAGUGCAGGAGAGGAAAGUGGAAUUCCUAGUGUAGCGGUGAAAUGCGUAGAUAUUAGGAGGAACACCAGUGGCGAAGGCGACUUUCUGGACUGUAACUGACACUGAGGCACGAAAGCGUGGGGAGC